rnacentral:rRNA from 1 species
GACCCUACGGGAGCAGCAGUGAGGAAUAUUGGUCAAUGGGCGCGAGCCUGAACCAGCCAAGUCGCGUGAGGGAAGACGGUCCUAUGGAUUGUAAACCUCCUUUGUCGGGGAGCAAAAGACGCCACACGUGGCGUUCCGAGAGUACCCGAAGAAAAAGCAUCGGCUAACUCCGUGCCAGCAGCCGCGGUAAUACGGAGGAUGCGAGCGUUAUCCGGAUUUAUUGGGUUUAAAGGGUGCGCAGGCGGAAGAUCAAGUCAGCGGUAAAAUUGAGAGGCUCAACCUCUUCGAGCCGUUGAAACUGGUUU